UGUCCCGCGCGGGAACUCACCGCUCCUGGCUCCGCGGGACACCAGCGCCGCUCACAUCCCGCCAGCUCCUCCAAUUCCCGCGGCCGGCCGCUGCCCAGCGCGCACCUCCUGGAGCAUCCCGGGCCGUGCUGAGCUCUCAGAACUUCCCCGCUGCUCCGCGCUUUGAUUUGGAGCGAUGCGCAAAGAACGCGACUGGCUGCGAGAGGCUUUAUUUUGUUUAUUUCUGCUCUUCCUUCCCCUCCCUCUCCCAGUUUAGCCCAGGAACUCCCGCAGCAUUGGUUAAUCCUCGAGGAGGGAUAACUGCUGAGAUCUUCAGCGAGCUCUCCGCUACCACGGAUACUUCCUGGAGCUCCAGCAGCUCUGUGAGGGAUGUGCAGCUACAAGAUGUGAAGGUUCUCUACCAUUAUCCAUCAGUUAUGGACAGGGCUGGAAUUCCUGCCUGAGCAGCUUCCUGCAGAAUUGAACUUUGGCUGGACACAAAUAGCACAUAAAGAGGGAAACCAGAUGAAAACUGAUGCAGGCCUCAGUUUCUUUGGAGGUAAACGGAGAGAUCUCAGGUGUCAGCGCCCCAGAGACCUGCCCAGCCUUUUAUAGGACUCUUGGACAGUUUAUAGACAGCAGCUGACACCUGUAAAAUUCACCUGGAGCUAUUCAGCAGUUUUAAACACCUCGAUGCAAUUUAACCAGAACUCCUCAUGCACAAAAAAAGGCAAAAAAUUGAUUGGAGUGGCCGAGGAACUCCUCUGUCCUGUCUUUAAAAAGUGGAUAUAAAGCUGUCAGCUUUUACAGCUGCCCUCACACUGCUUCAACUAAGCAGAGCUCUGGAGGGGAGAUUCCUUUCCAGCCUGGAGUCCUGAUGGGCCUGGAGGCAGGUCCAGUGCAGGGAUGGGCUGUGAGGCAGCUCUGCAGCAGCAACUUCAUCUGCAGCAGCAUCUGCAUCACCUGCAUCACCUGCAUGUGCAUCACCUGCAUCACCUGCAUGUGCAUCACCUGCAUCACCUGCAUCGUCUGCAUCUGCACCUGCAUCAUCUGCAUCACCUGCAUCCCUUCCUGAGGAAGGU